CAGGGAGACAGGUGGUGCAUGGUUGUCGUCAGCUCGUGUCGUGAGAUGUUGGGUUAAGUCCCGCAACGAGCGCAACCCCUACGUUUAGUUGCUAACAGGUGAAGCUGAGCACUCUAGACGAACUGCCGUUGACAAAACGGAGGAAGGUGGGGAUGACGUCAAAUCAUCAUGCCCCUUAUGUUCUGGGCUACACACGUGCUACAAUGGCCGGUACAGACGGAGGCGAAGCCGCGAGGCGGAGCAAAUCCGAAAAAGCCGGUCUCAGUUCGGAUUGCAGGCCGCAAUUCGCCUGCAUGAAGUCGGAAUCGCUGGUAAUCGCAGGUCAGCAUACUGCGGUGAAUACGUUCCCGGGCCUU
rnacentral:rRNA from 1 species